rnacentral:rRNA from 1 species
AGAGUUUGAUCAUGGCUCAGGACGAACGCUGGCGGCGUGCUUAACACAUGCAAGUCGAGCGCUGAAGCCUUCGGGUGGAUGAGCGGCGAACGGGUGAGUAACACGUGGGUGACCUGCCCUCAGCUCUGGGAUAAGCCUGGGAAACUGGGUCUAAUACCGGAUAUGACUUCCUGCCGCAUGGUGGGUUGUGGAAAGUUUUUCGGCUGAGGAUGGGCCCGCGGCCUAUCAGCUUGUUGGUGGGGUGAUGGCCUACCAAGGCGACGACGGGUAGCCGGCCUGAGAGGGCGACCGGCCACACUGGGACUGAGACACGGCCCAGACUCCUACGGGAGGCAGCAGUGGGGAAUAUUGCGCAAUGGGCGAAAGCCUGACGCAGCGACGCCGCGUGGGGGAUGACGGCCUUCGGGUUGUAAACCUCUUUCGCCAGGGACGAAGCUAACGUGACGGUACCUGGAUAAGAAGCACCGGCCAACUACGUGCCAGCAGCCGCGGUAAUACGUAGGGUGCGAGCGUUGUCCGGAAUUAUUGGGCGUAAAGAGCUCGUAGGCGGUGUGUCACGUCGGUCGUGAAAACCUGGGGCUUAACUCUGGGCUUGCGGUCGAUACGGGCAUCACUUGAGUUCGGCAGGGGAGACUGGAAUUCCUGGUGUAGCGGUGAAAUGCGCAGAUAUCAGGAGGAACACCGGUGGCGAAGGCGGGUCUCUGGGCCGAUACUGACGCUGAGGAGCGAAAGCGUGGGGAGCGAACAGGAUUAGAUACCCUAGUAGUCC